rnacentral:piRNA from 1 species
UAAGACAUCAUCUAUCAGCGUGUCUGUCU